rnacentral:ncRNA from 1 species
AUGAUGGUUUGGUUGCUUUUCAUUAUAGGUCAUAUGGAACUUUUUUCUACAAGAAAAUAGGUUUCAUAAUAUCUAUAAGAGAUUUAUCCUAUAUAAAAUCAUAGAGC